CCUACGGGGGGCAGCAGUGGGGAAUAUUGCACAAUGGGGGAAACCCUGAUGCAGCGACGCCGCGUGAGUGAGGAAGUAUUUCGGUAUGUAAAGCUCUAUCAGCAGGGAAGAAAAUGACGGUACCUGACUAAGAAGCCCCGGCUAACUACGUGCAAGCAGCCGCGGUAAUACGUAGGGGGCAAGCGUUAUCCGGAUUUGCUGGGUGUAAAGGGAGCGUAGACGGCUAAUCAAGUCAGAAGUGAAAACGCAGGGCUCAACUUUGGGACUGCUGUUGAAACUGGGUAGCUAGAGUGCAGGAGAGGUAAGCGGAAUUCGUAGUGUAGCGGUGAAAUGCGUAGAUAUUAGGAGGAACACCAGUGGCGAAGGCAGCUUACUGGACUGUAACUGACGUUGAGGCUCGAAAGCGUGGGGAGCAAACAGGAUUAGAUACCCCUGUAGUC
rnacentral:rRNA from 1 species